CCUCACUGAACCAAUGUGCGUGUAAAGCAAUGGGCGCAGAGCUGGGCACACUCACUCGCCAAGGAGGCAGGAGCCCCACGCUCCCAGGACAGGCUCACCCGCAGCAAGAGGCGGAGACCGAGGCCUCCUGGUCGGCCGCCAACUUCUCCUGGGAGGCGUCCCGCCAGCUCCUGGCUGCGUAAGAGAAUGAACGUGUCAGGGAAAGUGCCCAAACCCUUGCAAGAGGGAAAGAACGUGAGCGGGAGGGGAAAGAAGCAGCUCGUGCCAAGAUGGUUAAAACAACGCUAUUCAUACAGCAAAGAACUGGAAAGCUCCCAGCCACCCCAGGCCCCGGAUGGGCAGACCCCAGGCACAGCAGUUUCAGCAAUUUCUGCCUCUGUCAACUGGGACCCUGGGAAGAGGGUGAAGCAGAAAGUAUGGAAAAUACCAGGAAGAGGAUAAACCAAGGCUCAGUCCCAAAGCCCAGAAUGAGCCCAGAAGGCCGGGAAGUGACGGCCUUCGCUCUUGGGGGUGUUUAAGCUGUGCUUCCUGUAUUUAAUGGAGGCUCUGUCCUGGUCUGUGUCUGUGUGACGGGCACGGUGCACAGCGGGGUCUUCGCCGGGCCGGGCAGAGCUGCUGCCCGCUGCCUGGGCCUGCCAGUGUAAGACGGGUCCUGAGGGCUGCCCCGCCUCGUCCAUGCCUGCUGGCUGCUGUCCUUGCUCUGUCCUUUCUAGACUUGGAGGCAGAACAGUGCUGUCCUGACGAGCUUGAACUCCAGAAUCAGAAUGACGGGAAUUAAAAUCCUGACCUAAUACUUUACUGCACCUGUGCCCCAGGACGGGCGGCUCAGCCUCUCUGAGUCUCAGUUUUUUCGUCUGAAAAAUGGCGACCCUGACGAUUCUAAUUUGUCCUGAGACCCACCUCAGUGGGAGGUAAGCAGUGUGCCCGGGGCCAGGCCUGGCAUGAGUGUGCAGGUCAAAGUGAGUGGGGAACCUCUUCCCUCCUUCUGUUUUCCUUGUGCAAUCCUCAGCAGCUCAGCAGCCCACAGGGUUCCCGGAGCCGAGACUCGGGGCCCUUGGAAACACCCUCAUGGUUUUGGCCAUUGUGUUCCCAGGAGGGCAGGUGACAGUUUAAGGACAGUAAAUAAACUGACA
rnacentral:lncRNA from 1 species